GUCUAUGGUGUAAUGUUUAGCACGCUGGACUCUGAAUCUAGCAAUCUGAGUUCAAAUCUCGGUAGGACA
rnacentral:tRNA from 1 species